AAAUUGAAGAGUUUGAUCAUGGCUCAGAUUGAACGCUGGCGGCAGGCCUAACACAUGCAAGUCGAACGGUAACAGGAAGAAGCUUGCUUCUUUGCUGACGAGUGGCGGACGGGUGAGUAAUGUCUGGGAAACUGCCUGAUGGAGGGGGAUAACUACUGGAAACGGUAGCUAAUACCGCAUAAUGUCGCAAGACCAAAGAGGGGGACCUUCGGGCCUCUUGCCAUCGGAUGUGCCCAGAUGGGAUUAGCUAGUAGGUGGGGUAACGGCUCACCUAGGCGACGAUCCCUAGCUGGUCUGAGAGGAUGACCAGCCACACUGGAACUGAGACACGGUCCAGACUCCUACGGGAGGCAGCAGUGGGGAAUAUUGCACAAUGGGCGCAAGCCUGAUGCAGCCAUGCCGCGUGUAUGAAGAAGGCCUUCGGGUUGUAAAGUACUUUCAGCGGGGAGGAAGGGAGUAAAGUUAAUACCUUUGCUCAUUGACGUUACCCGCAGAAGAAGCACCGGCUAACUCCGUGCCAGCAGCCGCGGUAAUACGGAGGGUGCAAGCGUUAAUCGGAAUUACUGGGCGUAAAGCGCACGCAGGCGGUUUGUUAAGUCAGAUGUGAAAUCCCCGGGCUCAACCUGGGAACUGCAUCUGAUACUGGCAAGCUUGAGUCUCGUAGAGGGGGGUAGAAUUCCAGGUGUAGCGGUGAAAUGCGUAGAGAUCUGGAGGAAUACCGGUGGCGAAGGCGGCCCCCUGGACGAAGACUGACGCUCAGGUGCGAAAGCGUGGGGAGCAAACAGGAUUAGAUACCCUGGUAGUCCACGCCGUAAACGAUGUCGACUUGGAGGUUGUGCCCUUGAGGCGUGGCUUCCGGAGCUAACGCGUUAAGUCGACCGCCUGGGGAGUACGGCCGCAAGGUUAAAACUCAAAUGAAUUGACGGGGGCCCGCACAAGCGGUGGAGCAUGUGGUUUAAUUCGAUGCAACGCGAAGAACCUUACCUGGUCUUGACAUCCACAGAACUUUCCAGAGAUGGAUUGGUGCCUUCGGGAACUGUGAGACAGGUGCUGCAUGGCUGUCGUCAGCUCGUGUUGUGAAAUGUUGGGUUAAGUCCCGCAACGAGCGCAACCCUUAUCCUUUGUUGCCAGCGGUCCGGCCGGGAACUCAAAGGAGACUGCCAGUGAUAAACUGGAGGAAGGUGGGGAUGACGUCAAGUCAUCAUGGCCCUUACGACCAGGGCUACACACGUGCUACAAUGGCGCAUACAAAGAGAAGCGACCUCGCGAGAGCAAGCGGACCUCAUAAAGUGCGUCGUAGUCCGGAUUGGAGUCUGCAACUCGACUCCAUGAAGUCGGAAUCGCUAGUAAUCGUGGAUCAGAAUGCCACGGUGAAUACGUUCCCGGGCCUUGUACACACCGCCCGUCACACCAUGGGAGUGGGUUGCAAAAGAAGUAGGUAGCUUAACCUUCGGGAGGGCGCUUACCACUUUGUGAUUCAUGACUGGGGUGAAGUCGUAACAAGGUAACCGUAGGGGAACCUGCGGUUGGAUCACCUCCUUACCUUAAAGAAGC
rnacentral:rRNA from 1 species